rnacentral:lncRNA from 1 species
UGUAAAUGCCCUUAAGUCGACUGCGCUUUAGAAUCACUUGGGGAUCAUCUAAAAAAUACCAAUUCCUGGGGCCAACCCCUAGGGAGUCUGAUUUCACUGGUCUGAGGCCACGCCUCCUCAUCCACACCGUUUAAAAAGCUUCCCAAGCCAGGCAACAACUGAGCUGAGCGUCUGGACCUGAACCGCCCUGCAGGGAAAGGCAACGGAAGCUCUUGCUAGGGUAGCAACUAUGAGCUCAAAUCCACCGUCCCCCUCCCCGACUUCAGGACUCCAGGUUGUGGUUCGAACCCGCCUUUGGCAGCUCCUUCAAACGGGAACCAGCCCCAUCACUUUGUAACGUUCGGCGUUGGCGCAGGGGUCUGCAGCUUCCGCCUGCCCGAAACUUGGUGCUGGCUGACCCUGAAGGCGGCCCUGUGAGAGGGAGGCAAGAGAGCGAGCUGAUCCGGGCACCGCACAGGCGGAGGCCGAGACUCUGUCAGGAGUGGAGUUGCUUUUUUACUUAUUUGGAACUCAAAUUCUCGCUCCUGUGAGAGGGGAACAACCAUUUUCGAAGAGUAACUAGCAUCUGCAGCCGCUAGAGGGCAGACCUCAGCCUGAGAACGCAGUUUCCUAGGAUACAGGACCGGUCACCUCACUGCAUCUCCCUUUGCGUCCCCAGAAGGCGCUGCUGCCAGCUUAAGAUGCCUAACACCUGAUGGGUCCUGUCGCCAGCUCCACGGCUCCUGGCAGUUGGUUCAUCCCUUGAGCUGAUGACUUUACGUUGUUCUAUAAGAGCACUGCCCAAAAGAAAUACAACAUGAGCUACAAAUUUGUAAAGAAGAACUUCUAAGCAGGAUGACAAGAAUAAUCCAUGAAGAAAGCUUUGGAACUGAAGUGAAAAAAAGUUCUAUUGGUAGAAGAAUGUGUCAAAGAAAUGAAAGUUAAAAAAGUACUCUUCAUCCUUUGGGGCAAUGUUUCUCUACCUUUUUUUGGGUCAUAAUUGCCCCCUGAGGGGUAAAAUUAAAUCAUUUAACAUUUAAAAUUAAAUCAAACUUCUCCUGGACAAGAGAAAUUAAAUACUAACGAAUAAGAUGUUGUCAGGUAGGGCUGACCUUUGGAGGAUCCCAAACCAGUGUAAAAUCUAAGUUUUUUCACCCAUCCCUCUGUCCUCCCGCAAGAACCAAUUUUUGCCCUCUUGGGCGUGCUAUCUCCCCUGUUGAGAAUGCGUGCUUUGGGGUAGAGAACAGAAGGGAACCUUGCCCCAUAGUGGAUUAUUUCAGACAUUCAAAAAAGGUAGUAAUAUCUAAGGUUCUGGAGCAAAAUGAAGAUUCACAGGCACUGAGAGGUUUGAGAAAUCCUCUUACGGACUGAAAGAAGAAGAGAAAAUCUGAUGUUUGCUGAUGGUUCUGGAAACAAACAAAUGUAGAUCCGAGUUCAACAAAAGUCAUAGAUCUCGGGGAAGGGACGGGAAGAACUACUGCGUGUCAAGAAGGAAGGAAGCUUGCUGGUCCUGGGCACGAUUGCCCUUGGAUCCAUCUCUUGCUUUUCCCCAGCUUUCAUCUACAUGGAAGAAGGAAAUAGACUUCUCUUCAGGGUACUACAGCCGAGGAGAACAUGAGCAUUGUGAGUCUCUGGAGAGGCUACUGAAUAACUCUGCGGCGAAGCCCACAGAGCUACUGCAGAGGAUGGAUGUUUCCCUCUGAGCAAAGCAGACACGAUCAUCAAAUCUGCUUUGCCAAGUAUUUAUUUGAAUCUUCAUUUCAAGGCUGAGGAAUCAGUAAUUCACCAGAAAAGAGAAAAAGAAUUAAUUAAACUAAAUCUAAGCCAUCUUACAUAACAAAAUACCACGAAAUAGCUUGUAUAAGAACUGCUGGGGUCUUUUCUAGAACUUGUUAAUUUGGUCUUUUGGUGAUCACUACUGGCCAACAAACCUACCUAUUACACCAGCGUAGUAUUUGUACUUUGUAGAGGAAAUUCAGAGAGGGCUGAAGAGAAAAACAGUAGAGUAAGUCCUGCCAACUAAAUAAAAUGGCGCCUGUCACAACAUCAAUUUGUGUAAAAUGGCAAAAGAACAUCUAAUAUACAGGCCUGUCAACGAACGUCUAAAUAACAGGGCUCUUCUCGGCUACGUCUGCGCGUAGGUUUACACUUAAAAUACAUGUGUCUAGGAACUCAGAAGAGUUGAGGGUUGAGUUGGAGCUGCCAUUGAUGUUUCUCACAUUUGAGCUCCAGUUCAUGACACACUAAUCGUGCACUUAUUACAAGUGCUGCCUUCGCAUCACCCCUGACAGGACAGAAAAGAGAGGCAUACAUCCUGCUUUGUGGGCCACCUAUAAUUAUGGGUUUGCAUCAAAAGCAAAGAAAAGUCAUGUCAUUGGUCUCAUUUAGAAGCACAACAGGCUCAAAGCCUUUGAGAGUGAAAAGUGUGGCACAGCGUGGGAGAGGAUUUCUGUACAGAAAAUUAUCAAAGCCAUGAUUGUAACAUUUCUAUUCCCAAAUCCGUAUGAGCUCCUCUGAAAAAAAGAACAUGAUGUAGCUAGACCUCCAGGAAAGUUGGUGAUAUCUGUGCCACCGUAGGCUUGUAGAGUUCACUUAGCCUAACAGACGGAAAGAUGCUAAAGUUUGGAAGAAUAAUACUAGCCCAGUGCUGGAAUAGUGUCCAUCUCAUGCCAGACAUGGGACAAAUUGGAUCAAACUGAAAGAAGAUACAGGGAGUCAACACAUCUUCCCUCUCAAGAGAAGGAUGUAGUGUUGUGGGAAGUAAAGCGAAUCCUGGAAAUCUCAUUGGUUGAAGUUUCCAGAUCUGUAAGGAUGAGGGUUAGAGGCAUAGGCAGGUUUGGGAAAACAUCACACAGUCCUUUACUUUCUUCUCCCGCUCUCUUAACAUAAAACCUUUUUUAAGGGCAAUGCCAUAGGAUGGUUUAUCUCAGUUUUACAUCAUUCUUUAUGAUGGAUCUUCCAGCUGUUUCCUUUUGAGAAACUUUAAGCUAAUCACAUUGCAACGUUCAAGAGAUUUCCCUGCUUGGAUGUUUGUAUUUCUUGCCUUCGUUUUCAUUCUUACAUUCAUUUUGGUUUCCUUAAACCAUUCUAAAUAAUCUCCCUCCCUUAGGUUAGGGGUUUAACGAUGUGGUAAAAUAAUUGUAGACCCACUUGAAUUAUCACUGAGAGAAUGACAGUACACAAGUCUGUAACACACACACACACACACACACACACACACACUCUGGUUCCCUGCCAUGUCCAAGUGGCAGUUUUUAUCUGUUGGGUCUGCUAGGAUUGUCAACCCUCUACCUCCUUUCAAAUGAGUGAAUGCAGCAAAAACUCCCUCGCACGUUUCCAGGAGAGGCUCCCACACUCUUGCAUCGUUGCGUCACU